rnacentral:rRNA from 1 species
GCUUAACACAUGCAAGUCGAGCGGUAAGGCCCUUCGGGGUACACGAGCGGCGAACGGGUGAGUAACACGUGGGUGAUCUGCCUCGCACUCUGGGAUAAGCCUGGGAAACUGGGUCUAAUACCGGAUAUGAGCAUCAGGUGCAUGCCUGGGGUUGGAAAGGUUUACUGGUGCGAGAUGGGCCCGCGGCCUAUCAGCUUGUUGGUGAGGUAACGGCUCACCAAGGCGACGACGGGUAGCCGGCCUGAGAGGGCGACCGGCCACACUGGGACUGAGACACGGCCCAGACUCCUACGGGAGGCAGCAGUGGGGAAUAUUGCACAAUGGGCGAAAGCCUGAUGCAGCGACGCCGCGUGAGGGAUGACGGCCUUCGGGUUGUAAACCUCUUUUGACAGGGACGAAGCGCAAGUGACGGUACCUGUAGAAGAAGCACCGGCCAACUACGUGCCAGCAGCCGCGGUAAUACGUAGGGUGCGAGCGUUGUCCGGAAUUACUGGGCGUAAAGAGCUUGUAGGCGGUUUGUCGCGUCGAUUGUGAAAACUUGCAGCUCAACUGCAAGCUUGCAGUCGAUACGGGCAGACUAGAGUACUGCAGGGGAGACUGGAAUUC